UACGUAGGGUGCAAGCGUCGUCCGGAAUUAUUGGGCGUAAAGAGCUCGUAGGCGGUUCGUCGCGUCGGCUGUGAAAUCCCGAGGCUCAACCUCGGGUCUGCAGUCGAUACGGGCGGACUGGAGUUCGGCAGGGGAGACUGGAAUUCCUGGUGUAGCGGUGAAAUGCGCAGAUAUCAGGAGGAACACCGGUGGCGAAGGCGGGUCUCUGGGCCGAUACUGACGCUGAGGAGCGAAAGCGUGGGGAGCGAACAGG
rnacentral:rRNA from 1 species